rnacentral:rRNA from 1 species
CAGCAGCCGCGGUAAUACCGGCGGCCCGAGUGGCGGCCACUAUUAUUGGGCUUAAAGCGUCCGUAGCCGGGUUGGUUAGUCUCCCGGGAAAUCUGGCCGCUUAACGGUCAGAAUUCCGGGAGAUACUGCCAGCCUAGGGACCGGGAGAGGCCGUGGGUAUUCCCGGAGUAGGGGUGAAAUCCUAUAAUCCCGGGAGGACCACCUGUGGCGAAGGCGCUCGGCUGGAACGCGUCCGACGGUGAGGGACGAAGGCCAGGGGAGCAAACCGGAUUAGAUACCCGGGUAGUCCUGGCUGUAAACGAUGCGGACUUUGUGUCGGACAAGCUAUGAGCUUGUCCGGUGCCGGAGGGAAACCGUUAAGUCCGCCGCCUGGGGAGUACGGCCGCAAGGCUGAAACUUAAAGGAAUUGGCGGG